rnacentral:rRNA from 1 species
CUGGCGGAAAAUGGUGGUCGUCAGCUCGAGCACGAGGAGAUAUGAGGCUUAAGACCCUGCAUAAGAGAGCAACCGUUAAGCUAAGUCGCCAUCAUUAAGUUGGGAACAUUAAGUUGAGUGCCGGUGACUAUCCGUAGGAAGCUGGGGACGACGUCAAAUCAUCAGACCCCUUAUGAUUUGGGCUUCACACUUGCUACAAUGGACAAUACAAAGGGCAGCGAAUCGCUCGAGGUCAAGCAAAUACCAUAAAGCAAAACACAGUGUGGGUUGUAGUCUGC